rnacentral:rRNA from 1 species
GACGAACCGUGCGAACGUUGUUCGGAUUCACUGGGCUUAAAGCGCACGUAGGCGGCUAUUCAAGUCGGGGGUGAAAGCCCGGGGCUCAACCCCGGAACUGCCCUCGAAACUAGAUAGCUAGAAUCUUGGAGAGGCGAGUGGAAUUCCGAGUGUAGAGGUGAAAUUCGUAGAUAUUCGGAAGAACACCAGUGGCGAAGGCGACUCGCUGGACAAGUAUUGACGCUGAGGUGCGAAAGCGUGGGGAGCAAACAGG